UACGCCUGCAACUUAAAGGUGGCGCUGCCGGAAAAGGCCCACUUCCGUCAAGUCACCAAGAUUCUGAAACGCCCGGAGACCCUCGUUUUCAUAUUAGCUGUCGCCCUUUUGGGAUCCAUGUGGGGAUUUUUGGAGAACUUCCUCUUUGUUUUCCUGAAGAGUCUCCAGGCACCAACGUAUUUAAUGGGUCUGACCAUGACGGUGGCUGGCCUAGCAUCGCUGCCCUUCAACUGGUGGUCAGACGCCAUCUGCAGGAAGGUCGGCCACAUCAACGUCCUCCUUGUGUCGUUCGCCGGCUACACCUUGAGAUACAUCGGAUAUUCCUUCAUCAGGUGGGAGCCGCCGCUGCUCGUACAUCAUAAGCUGCAUCAUUUGUUCGGAUGAAGAACUCAGUAUAGGCCAUCGC